GGCUCAGGAUGAACGCUGGCGGCGUGCCUAACACAUGCAAGUCGAACGAAGCAUACGGACUGGAGAUUCGUCGAAGGACUGAUGACUAGUGGCGGACGGUGAGUAAUGUAUGAAGCAACCUGCCCUUUCAGAGGGGACAACAGUGGAAACGACUGCUAAUACCGCGUAACGUAUCGUGAGGGCAUCCUCGUGAUACCAAAGGAGCAAUCCGCUGAAAGAUGGGCUCAUAUCUGAUUAGCUUGUUGGCGGGGUAACGGCCCACCAAGGCGACGAUCAGUAGCCGGACUGAGAGGUUGAACGGCCACAUUGGGACUGAGAUACGGCCCAGACUCCUACGGGAGGCAGCAGUGGGGAAUAUUGGGCAAUGGGCGAAAGCCCUGACCCAGCAACGCCGCGUGAAGGAAGAAGGUCUUCGGAUUGUAAACUUCUUUAUGAGGGACGAAGGACGUGACGGUACCUCAUGAAUAAGCCACGGCUAACUACGUGCCAGCCGCCGC
rnacentral:rRNA from 1 species